CCUACGGGUGGCUGCCGUGGGGAAUAUUGGACAAUGGGCGAAAGCCUGAUCCAGCCAUGCCGCGUGUGUGAAGAAGGCCUUCGGGUUGUAAAGCACUUUCAGUGGGGAAGAAAGCCUUGGGGCUAAUACCCUCGAGGAAGGACAUCACCCACAGAAGAAGCACCGGCUAACUCCGUGCCAGCAGCCGCGGUAAUACGGAGGGUGCGAGCGUUAAUCGGAAUUACUGGGCGUAAAGCGCGCGUAGGCGGUCUGAUAAGCCGGUUGUGAAAGCCCCGGGCUCAACCUGGGAACGGCAUCCGGAACUGUCAGGUUAGAGUGCAGGAGAGGAAGGUAGAAUUCCCGGUGUAGCGGUGAAAUGCGUAGAGAUCGGGAGGAAUACCAGUGGCGAAGGCGGCCUUCUGGACUGACACUGACGCUGAGGUGCGAAAGCGUGGGUAGCAAACAGGAUUAGAUACCCGAGUAGUC
rnacentral:rRNA from 1 species